UACGAAGUGUGCAAACGUUGCUCGGAAUCAUUGGGCGUAAAGCGCACGUAGGCGGCCUCAUAAGUCGGAUGUGAAAUCCCUCGGCUCAACCGAGGACGUGCAUACGAAACUGCGAGGCUCGAGUAUGGAAGAGGGUCGCGGAAUUCCCGGUGUAGAGGUGAAAUUCGUAGAUAUCGGGAGGAACACCAGUGGCGAAGGCGGCGACCUGGGCCAAUACUGACGCUGAGGUGCGAAAGCGUGGGGAGCAAACAGG
rnacentral:rRNA from 1 species